GCCAGUGUGGCAUAGUUGUUUGAGCAUUGGACUAUGACUCUGCAGAUCAGGGUUCGAUUCUCAGCUUGGCCA
rnacentral:tRNA from 1 species